rnacentral:lncRNA from 1 species
AAUAGUUCUAGAAACUCUACUCUAAGGAGGGCUAGAAAGCGCUCUCUACCUUCUCAAUCUCAUGUAGGCAUACAAGGAUAGGGUGUAAAAACAUAGUCAGCACCAUAAGCGUCUCUUGAGAUAUUGAGCCAAAACAAGGACCCCGUGAGUUCAACUGCCAUGGAAGCUAGAUCGGUAAGGCGAAGCCAAAGGAAGGAGAUGGAAGCAACAUUUCUGGAUUCCUACUAACCCAUCAGUUUUAUGCAUCCAAAGCACUUGCAAGAAGAUUAAAAACCAGACACACACACAAGUAAACAUAAACUUAACAAAAAAUAAAGCAGAUCCUUAAUUCCCUCUCCAUGAAGCCCAACUUUACAAACUUAUAUAUAUAUAUAUACUCACCCAAAGGGGAGGGAACAACCUACGGCUCCGGGUGGCAGGAGGAGUCGUCCUUCACCCGGAAGGGGCAGGGGACAAUUGAUGAAACUUGACAGGGAGAAGGAGGAAGGCUCAGAGAUUAACUCCUGAAAGGAGAGAAAAACUCUCUCACUUGUGAUAAUACAAUAUUGUAGAGAUUGUGAUAAGAGAGAAGUUGAUAUAUCUAAGAUCGAAUGAGGCAAGGAGAUGUGGACAUGUAGGCAUGUAGGCAAGGGUUUGAUUCACAAAGGAGUAAAUGGAUCUCAUUGGAUGGUGCUAGAGUUAAUAGGGCUGAAAUUUCAGGUUCAUAGAGGUUAAGGUUUUUUAAG